AGAAUCAACGCUGGCGGCGUGCCUAACACAUGCAAGUCGAACGAGAAAGUGGAGCAAUCCAUGAGUAAAGUGGCGACCGGGUGAGUAACACGUGACUAACCUACCUUCGAGUGGGGGAUAACCUCGGGAAACCGGGCUAAUACCGCAUAAAAUCUUUGGAUCGGAAGAACUGGAGAUCAAUGGAGCAAUUCGCUUGAAGAGGGGGUCGCGGCUGAUUAGCUAGUUGGCGGGUAAUGGCCCACAAGGCUUUGAUCGGUA
rnacentral:rRNA from 1 species